UCAGCCUCCUGAAUGCUGGGAUUACAGGCGUGCACCAUCACGCCCGCUCCCCUGGCCUUCAGACUGAGGCUCUCCUGGGGUGUGCUGGGUGCCCGGCUCUGGAGUCCUGUGGUGGUGGGGGUGGACGGAGGAGAGGUAUGAGUGGUGGGAGGGGCCCUGGCCAGGCACAGUGGUCCCCCUCACACGGCAGGAGAGCAGCGAGGAGAAGGGAGGGAGCUGGAACUGCUCUCUGGGGCCCUAUUUGGCCUCCAGUUGCCUGGCUCCCACAGGCACCCCUGCCCUGGCCAGGACGCAGGGACACAUGGAGCCACAUGGACCUCCUAGACUCCUCCAAAUUUCACGGCUCAGGAAAAGGCUCCAACAGGGAGACGGACUCACUCAACUGGCACACACACUCUCUGAGGGUGCGAUUGUUACAGGGGCUCUGAAAGAGGGAGUGCCGUCCUUAGCACAAGCCCCGACCUUCCCAGAGACUAAACCCUGGCACAGAAGGGACACCUUUCAGCAGCUCUUCUUCCCUCUAAAAUCAGUGAUUGUCCCAGGGCCUGGAAGAUCAUGCUGACCCACGUCCCUUAAUCCUUGAAGGGUCGUGAUGAUCCUCCACCUCGCAAUGAGGAAAUAGAAAUUGAACCUUCCUGGUCGGGCCUCCCUGCAGGCCACCUCCAGUGAACUCCAGAUGGCUCUCCAGCUCCUGACCUUGCCUGACUCCAACACAAACCGCACAGAACCUGUACGGAGCUGUUCAACAAAGAAGACCUUGCAGAAAGGUGUGCGGAUAGAACAUAUGUGGUCCCGUCCUGCACGGGCCAGCCACCAGUCAUUAUCUCUCCCAGGGAGCAGGCUGAGCGCCCUGGCCUCCUUGUGCAAAGGGAGCUUAGCCCUGGCACAUCAAGACUCCGCUGGGGACAAGGCCCCACAUGACAGAGAACCACUGUCCUACCCGACUGUGCCACCUCCAGCCCAGGUGGAAGCAGGGUGAGCCAAGAGCUACAGGGGAACCAAGAGCUAAAACCAGCUUUGAAGACCGCGGAAGAACUCCUUUUGGAAAACGUGCAAGUAUCUGGCCUCCCUCCUCUCUUCCCCAGACAAACAAAACGACCCAGGGCACCUGCCCUUCCAGGUUCAGGUGUGAGCAGCCCGCAUCCCAGAGGCUGAGGCCGCACCUUCCACUCCACACUGUCACACAGAGCAAGACCACAGGGGUGCCCGUGGGUACCAGGAGAAACACUGAAUGGCAGCCUUGCCUGCUGAGAAGGAACCGGCCUUUGGGAAGGGUCCAGCCGGCAGCGACCGUGCGUGCCCUAACACAGCCCUUGGCCCCACGGCACACCAUUUGGCCCCAUGUCUGGUGUCUGCAGGCACCGUGGCUGGCAAACAUGCUUACCGAACGCAGGAAAGUGAUAAACUAUGUUUGUGUUCGUACAUUUGCCUCCACCCCUCUCAGUGGAGUGCUGGAAUUUUAAGCAUCCUUCUGAUGUACCACAAGUCCUUAAUAAGAACAAUUAAACACACAGGGUUUUAGGGCAGAAACGUUAACAGACACCCCAGGACUCUGAUCCCUUCUGUUCAGCGGAAUGCACCACUAGGAAUGUGUCACACACAAUCUGAAAAAUAAGCGAGGCCAGCCAGGUAGAUCAGAGAGGUGCCCUAGAGGUUUAACUUUACCAGAACUUUACCAAGGUCUGGCUCCAGCUAAUGCCUAGUUAUCAAACAUUUUCCAAAACAGUCUAGGUUUCCUGGGGCGAAUGGCUGUGCUCAUUCAUUUGUUUAUGGUUGGCAAGCUCUGGCUUGUAGCGAGGGCCGUAUUAUUCCCUUGCUGGGGCUCCAGAAGACCUUCCCCCAGGACUUUCUAAGUCUCCUAGGAUCAGGGCUGGAUCAGCAGGAACUCCCAAGAGAGUCUCCUCUGACCCCUAGGGAGCGGGGGUGGGUGGGAGGAGGUGGCCUUGCUCACUGGGGAGCGGGAAGAGAGACCGUUUGCUUCUCAGCUGCCUUAGGUGUAUGGUUUGGGCCUUCAAAGGCAGUGGGGCAGGUUGCCAGGGGCGUGACUGACAGGCUGGUUAUUGGAAAGCUCCCAUCAUUAGCCCAAGAACUUUGUUUGGUUGCUAUGGCGACCUUCACUCCAAGGGCCUGACUAAAGCACAAGGAAUCUGUUACCUAAAACCAUCCCUGACAGUGCCCAUGGCCUCGGGAAGGACGCUUAUCAGUGGCCCAUUCCCCUUGACCCGUAUUCCUGCCCUGCCCUGCUCAGGCCUCCCAGCUGCCUCCCCCACCCCAGAUGGAAAGAAAGGGCCGGGAGAGACAUCCCCUCGGGGCUCGCUUAGAGCCUCUCACAUUCCAAACAGGGAGGCUGUGGACCGGAGGCCCCCUGCAGGCCUGGGCCGCCUGGCUGGCUGCACGGCCCGGCCAGCACAUGUGUCCGGGGCUUAGCAAGAAGCCCGCAGGAUUUGAGAAAGCUGCCCAGGGUGUCUGGUUCCCACCGCACCAGGCUCACACUGUCCCCGAGGGCCCAUCAGUCUCCGCCGCGUCACGUUCCUGCCUUUUAGAGCCUGAGCUCCACUAACUAAAGGUCAUCCCGCAGCACGGACAUCAAGAGCCUCUCAGCUUUGCCUUCUAAUCCCCGAACGCAGAAGGAUUUUCAGAAGUUUGACUCAGGGAAGCCGGGUUUUGCUCUGCGAGUCUAGAUGCUGCCUCUGGCGCAGGAUCUUACAGAACUCUUCCCAGAGGGCACGGCCCCUCCCGUCAGGGCCUACCUUGCCAGGCCCCUCCCCCUUCCAUCCCCCGGGAUCACUGCAAGCACUGCCACCCGUGGUCCCAGGUGUCGGUGUGACACUGUCUGUGGCCACCCUCUGCCUCCAUUGCCACCCUGGCCACCCUGUUGAUCAGCUGCAUGACCUUCUCUGGGCUGAGCCUCAGAGGAGACCUGAGGGACGGGAGGAACCAGGACAGACACCGGCUGUCUUUCCACGCAGGAGCGGGCUGCUCAGCUCAAGGGAAGGAGACAGAGUCAAGGGAAGGACUUCACCACGGCUCUCACACAGGGACAGUUCGCAUGGAUGAGGUCCGUCCUGUGCGCCAAAGUGACAGGAAAGGCGAGAACCUGAACACCAGCCUGUCAGGGCCUUCCCCCUCCGGCAGCCUGGGGCGCAAGGCAGGGCCAGUGCUGAUCAAAACAGAGCUCUCCUGGUCCGGGAGGCUUCGGGCUCAUGGUGACUCAAGAUAAAGAACUACUACUUCUCUACUGACCCCCGGAUGGACAGGAAAAAGGGAAGUGCUCCUGGGGUGGAACACCCUAGUCCCCAAAUGCUUUGCAGCACGUCACUGCAGAGACGGGACAAAGAACACGAGAAGUCUCAGCCUGUGCAGCCCCUUAAGCCCCGUGAUUACCCGGAUUGAGACAUCUGUAAGGGUGAGCUGCCCCGCUGGCAGAGGCUGCCCCCUUAAGGUUUCAGCCGGCAGAAGUGGGGACGCUGCUUUGCGGCAGGUCCCUGUGAGCCUGGAGGAGUAGGGGGGCAGUCAGGCUGCCUGUUCCGUCUGCACCUUUCUGGAGCUCAGCCCCUCUGAGAACCUGCUAAAAGCCAUCUUGCCGGAUGCAUGCAAGCACACACCCACAAAAUGUUCUCAGUCAUGUCCACCCACGGGCCUCGUGUGGGAGGCAGCAGGCUCAGGGCCAGGACCCUCUGCCUUUCAGACCCGCGCAGUGAGUGGGAACGUCCUGGUGAGGUGGGAGGGGAGGGGUGGAAAGGAAAUCAAGAAGGCAGUGAUGAGUUCACACACUGCUGUGAUGCAACAGGGGCCUCCAAGCCCAGCCCUGGGCCCUGGAGGAUGGAGGUGGUGCAGGCGGAAGUCACCUCCCUGAAGUGGGCAAGCGGAGCUAAGGGGAAGCCAGGGGACUGGACAGACCCUACUUGCAGCACACCCCCACACUGGCCUUUCCCAUUGUGGGCCAGUGUUAGGAAGUGACAGGGAGCUGCAAAUGCCAGGUGCAGGAGCAGAACAGACCCCUAGGUGGAACUAGGGUACCGGGAGGGGUCGACUGUGCAGAGCCGAUUUCCCUUUCAUUCUUGUUUUCCGUUUCCAUGCAGGACUUCAGCUUGAAAUGCGCCGCUGAUAAAACACUGCCACAAAGCCUGGGCUUGCACCUUUUUUCCUCAAUAACACACUCAGGCCCCAGGGUAGUGGGGGGGUUGAGGAGCCCCUUCCCGCCCUCAAUCAGGAUUCGAAGUUUUUCUCUUGACUACUUCUGCUUUCACUGAGGCCUAACUGGCAAGAGCAAACACGUGCACACACUCCAUGGACACAAGUACAUACAUGUACAUGCAGGUGCACACAGACACACAUGCAAGGAGACACACACAGCAGCAAUGGGUCAGAGCCUGCCAGAGAGAGGUGUAAAGAUGAAAUUUGGAAAAAAAUCAAGGUACUGGCUCUGGGAGAGAGAACCUUUGCUUUUUGUGCAUUUUCAUUCUAAAUGACAAAUUAAACUAUUAUGACCUAA